rnacentral:pre_miRNA from 1 species
UAUAUACUCCCUCCGUCCGAAAAUACUUGUCAUCAAAAUGGACAAAAAGGGAUGUAUCUAAAACUAAAAUACAUCUAGAUACAUCCCUUUUAUCCAUUUUGAUGACAAGUAUUUCCGGACGGAGGGAGUAUAAU